rnacentral:tRNA from 1 species
GCCUCGUUCGUCUAGUGGCCAAGGACGCCACCCUUUCAAGGUGGAGAUCACGGGUUCGACUCCCGUACGGGGUACUA